rnacentral:misc_RNA from 1 species
GUGGUGAUUGUACCAUGACAGUCUUCUAUUGCUACGUUUGUUGCUUGGAGGUAGUCUUUCUGGAAUGGUGGAACCUCAACCUCACUAAAAACCAAUGAAGAAAUCGAAGCAGCCACGGAAUACCUAAACACGAGCAUAAUAAACGCUAUCCGCUUCUCCACACCGGCAAUAACGUCCAUCAGCAAUCACGAAUACCCCCAGUACAUAUUUAAAAAAAUAGCAGAAAAACGUAGACUAAGAAGGAUAUGGCAGACCCAUAGAACACCGGGG